GGGACUCACCUGGCAGGGGGAGGAGCAGCGCCCAGAGCGGCGCCCGGCGGGGGAGCGGCGCCAUCAGCGGGACGCGCCGGGCAUGCUCGGCCGCCGGCGGGGACGCGGCGCGGGGCGAGCCGAGGCGCCCCGGCAUCGCUGAAACCACUUCCAGAUGGCCACGUCGCGGCGGCGGAGCGCCCGGCCCCUCGCAGCCGCCCCCCGCGCUGCCCCCGCUCCAGCCUGCCGCGUGCUGAAACGCCAAGACCCUGCGAACAAGUUGGGAAACUCACCGUUUCCAUCUGCAGCUCAUCCCCGCGCUCUCCUGUUGCACCCUGGCUGAUCGGAGCGACCCAAGUCGGAGAUUUCCGGUGACCUCAGCGUCUCGAGGAAGCGUGUCGAGGACCUGCAGCGUCUCCGGCUGAAGCUGAUGACUGCAAUGCAGCGGGAUGCUCCAGGAGGGCGCUGGACCUCGCAGUGGGAGUACAGGGAACCGUGCGAAGCCACGUGGCUGUUAAGCAGAGCACUCCCAAGUCACGCUAAUAGCACGUGCAAGUGUCAUUUAAUAUUUCUGCAAUUCUCAUCUCUUAAUCUGAAAAAAUAGUAUUAAGAACAUGCUAAUUUGAGGCAUUUAAGGUUGCAUAAAAAUGAAUAGAUAAAAACAGUGUUUAUGAGACUUUCAAACAGUAACACAAAACAACAACUUAAAAUGCGUCUCAGGAUCUGGAUGAGCUGCAUCCCCUUGCGAGAUCCCUUUGGAUAGAUGCCAAACGUUUCAUGGCAGCACCUUACCAAGGCAAAUCUCACCAAAGACAGAGACCUGCAUCUUCCCCAGUCACAUUACUGGGACUGCUACCAAUUAAAUAAGUCUAAGAGUACCAGAUGUUUAUGCCGUGAUAAAGAAGUGCAGUCAUCUUUAAUAAAUAAUUACCAAAUAAACCUUUAUCAGUUGGCUUGAUUUU